UUUAACUUUGAUCUGUGAGCGUUUUGACGGGAAGGAGUUUUUCCCUUUAUCUAGUAUUUAGAGGCCGAGUGUGGCCUUUGUUCAUAUAUGUCUGGCCGAGUGUGGCCUUCGAACUUUGUACGGGCCUUUUUUAGCCGCUUUUAUCAGGACUGGCCGUUGGUGGCUUUGAACCCCUACCGCUAUGCGGUUUAUAAUGGAUGUUUGUUUGAGUUACUUUGUUUUAGAGUGGGUUUUGAAGUAAACAUGAGUUGUCAUCUCAUAUUUAUCUUCGUUGAGGCGUUCAAUCUGUUAGUUUGUUCAAGACGUGAGUUUUCGUAAAAAUUAUUUACGAUCUUCCGGGAACGUUGAGAUAUGAACGAAGAGACAUGUUUUAGGAUCUCGUAUCAUUUAGAUAUCAUGUCUUUGAGAUGUCUGAGACCAAUGCGAUGGG
rnacentral:lncRNA from 1 species